rnacentral:rRNA from 1 species
AGACCUUGUGCUUUUGGAGCGGCCGAUGUCUGAUUAGCUAGUUGGUAGGGUAAAGGCCUACCAAGGCUACGAUCAGUAGUUGGUCUGAGAGGACGACCAGCCACACUGGGACUGAGACACGGCCCAGACUCCUACGGGAGGCAGCAGUGGGGAAUUUUGGACAAUGGGCGAAAGCCUGAUCCAGCAAUGCCGCGUGAGUGAAGAAGGCCUUCGGGUUGUAAAGCUCUUUCAGUCGAGAAGAAAAAGUUGUGACUAAUAAUCACAAUUUAUGACGGUACCGACAGAAGAAGCACCGGCUAACUACGUGCCAGCAGCCGCGGUAAUACGUAGGGUGCAAGCGUUAAUCGGAAUUACUGGGCGUAAAGGGUGCGCAGGCGGUUCUGUAAGUCAGAUGUGAAAUCCCCGGGCUUAACCUGGGAAUU